rnacentral:rRNA from 1 species
UCAGACGAUGCGUCAUGCAUAUCAAUAAGCGGAGGAAAAGAAACUAACAAGGAUUCCCCUAGUAACGGCGAGUGAAGCGGGAAGAGCUCAAAUUUGAAAUCUUAAAGGGUUUCCCUUUACGAAUUGUAAUUUAAAGAAGUGUUUUCUGUUGAGGUUUUGGUAAAAGUUCUUUGGAGUAGGACAUCAUAGAGGGUGAGAAUCCCGUAUUUGACCUUUACUUUCAACUUUGUGAUACACUUUCAAAGAGUCGGAUUGUUUGGGAAUGCAGUCCAAAAUGGGUGGUAAAUUUCAUCUAAAGCUAAAUAUUGGCGAGAGACCGAUAGCGAACAAGUACCGUGAGGGAAAGAUGAAAAGAACUUUGAAAAGAGAGUUAAACAGUACGUGAAAUUGUCAAAAGGGAAGCGUUUGACACCAGUGUUGUUUUUCUGAAAAUCAAUUAAAGAACUGUUUAUGCUAAGCUGUUUAGACUUUAUCAGCUAACUGUUUAGUUUUGAGCUUUUCUUUAAUGCACUUUUCAGUUAACAAGUCAACAUCAAUUUCUUUUGCUGUAAAAAAGCUUGAGGAAGGUGGCUUGAGAUUCGUCUUAAGUGUUUAUAGCCUCUUGCCUAUGCAGUCGGAGAGAUUGAGGUCUGCAGCGUAGAUCCUUCGGGGCUAAAUGCAUUUGUGCUAAGUUAUAGCAUUUUAUAGACAACUUGUUGACUAUGAUUUGUCUUGUAGCUUACUCGCUUAUGUUAUUUUACCUACGCUUAGGAUGUUGAGCGCAUGUCUCUCUCU